UUGUAAUACCCACUAUCUUAGAAAUAAAAUUAUAUCUAUGUUUAUUAAAUGUGGUCAACAAGUCAAAGCUUAUUCAAGUUUAAUAUUGGAUAAAAUUACUAAAUUGCCCUUCAUUACCCUUAAAGGUUAAGAAACCACUUUGGUCUUUGGAUAAACAUCUCUUUUGAAAGAAGAUAAGAUGAGUGGACUAGAGAGAUAGAGGAAAAGAAACAUCUUGAAGCUUUGAUCUUCAUCUUCUUCAAGCUUAGGUCUCAAGUUAUUGGAGUAUUCUAGGAAAUUUGACAAGGAGUAUUUGGGUGAGCUAAAUAGUUAAGAUUUGGGUGUUUCAGAAUAGCUAAGGACAUGUGAAUAGCACGAAC